GCUCUCCCGGCGGCCCCCGCGGCAGCGUCGAGGCGCGGCACGUGGCGGCGGCUGCGCACGCGCGGACCCGGUGACUAGCCGCCGGGCGCUGCCGUGGGCUUUGGUGCGGCUGCUUUGGGGGAUCCCAGGGCCUUUGAAGAGCUGCAGAGGAGUUGGGGAUUCGCAGUUACAGAUAAAGAAGAGGCGAUGGGAGAUGAUGAGGUGUCCGAUUUGAAGCAGUUCUCGGUGAAGGAUAAGGUUGCCCUCAUGAGGAAGAGAGAGAAUACCGAGCAGAUGAAGCUAGAAAACUCAAAGAAACGGAAAGUGAAGGAGCCAAACCAAACCAGUCGGGGAAGAUGUGGGGAAGACCAGCAGUGCUUGAAAGAAGAAAGUACAUUCUCCGUUUGGAAAGAAAAUCCAGGCCAGGGUAGUGUUACCAUCAGAUCUGCACAGACCACCAAGCCAGUGAAGACAAAUAACCAUGAAAAGCCAUCCAAGAAAAAAAGCCAAGUUCCGAGGUCACGAGGAGGCCCUGAAGACAGAAUGGAGCUGGCCCUUGGUGGAUGUGAGAUGGUCUCUGGGGACGGGCCCCUGCAGGCUGUGCUGGGCAGGAAGGAAGGCAUUAAGGCCCUGCCACGCAGCACCCUCGGAGAGGGAGACAGCGAGCAAGGAGACGCUAACCAGGAAGGGGGCCCAGUGAAAAUGAAAAGCAAACAGAAGAAAACUAAAGAAAAAACGUGGGAAGAGAAGAGGCUGAAAGGGCUUGAGGAGAAACGUGCUGGGAGGUGUUCAAAAGCAUCGAGGCUGGAGAAAGACCACAGGGAUGCCAGCCACAGGAAGGGGGGCCCUGAGGGAGCGGGGGGCAGGCCAGCAGCCAGAGGGAAGGGGGAGCAAAGUGGGGACAAGGAGACAGGAGCGGGGAGCCCCAAAGAAGGAACACAGGCUGAGGACAGAGAACUAGGGAAGGCAACAGCGGAAGGGUUGCUGGGGAGGAGACAGACAGAUGAGGAGGGGGAAGACACGGGGGCCAACAGAGCCAUGGAAGGGGCCCGUGAAGGAUUGGGUGGGGACACCCAGGCAGGAGGGGAGGCGCCUGGUCACAAGUCCAAGUCACAGGUGGAGCGUCCCAGAAUAGACAGGAGAAGGAAGAUGGAGACUGCAGGUGGGGUGGGGGCCCGGGGAGCAAAGGAUCAGAGACGGGGAGACCAGGGGCCACAGAGAGCCAAGCUCACGGAGGAGGGGAGCAUGAAGCGUGCCCACGGGUGCGGCCCUGCGGGGGAGGAAGCAGCCGGCCAGGAGGUGGUCCCCGCCACUGCCCCCGGGCUGGGAGGCUUCCCAAGGAAGACUCGAGAAGAGAAGAAGCUGAAAGAGAAAAAGAAGCAGGGCAGCAUGAAGCAGGGUGGAGGCAAGGAGCUGCCGCAAGAGCAGGAGCAGCUGGUUGGCGUGCGGACAUGCAGAGGGCGAGAAAAGAAGAGGGACGCGGAGGCCCCGAAAGGGCAGGAGAAGGAGGAAGCAGGCCAGUGGAGAUGGUGGGAAGAGGAGAAGAGCCAAGAUGGAGUGAAAUGGAAACAGCUGGAGCACAAAGGCCCGUACUUCGCUCCCUCAUACGAGCCCCUUCCUGAUGGAGUUCACUUCUACUAUGACGGAAAGCCCGUGAAGUUGAGCUUAGCAGCCGAGGAGGUUGCCACGUUUUAUGGGAAAAUGUUGGAUCAUGAAUAUACAACAAAAGAAGUUUUCCAAAAUAAUUUCUUCAGUGACUGGCGGAAGGAAAUGACAGCAGAAGAGAGGAAAAUCAUCAAGCACCUGGACAAGUGUGACUUCACAGAGAUCCACAGAUACUUUGUGGACAAGACUGCAGCCCGGAAAGCCCUGUCCAGGGAGGAGAAACAGAAGUUAAAAGAAGAGGCAGAAAAGCUUCAGCAAGAGUUUGGCUACUGUACUCUAGAUGGGCACCGAGAAAAAAUAGGCAAUUUCAAGACGGAGCCCCCCGGGUUGUUCCGGGGCCGCGGUGACCACCCCAAGAUGGGGAUGCUGAAGAGGAGAAUCCUGCCAGAGGACGUGACCAUCAACUGCAGCAGGGACUCAAAGAUACCCAAGCCCCCAGCAGGUCACCAGUGGAAGGAGGUGCGCUCUGAUAACACGGUCACGUGGCUGGCGUCGUGGACGGAGAACAUCCAGAACUCCAUCAAGUACGUCAUGCUGAACCCAAGCUCGAAGCUGAAGGGGGAGAAAGAUUGGCAAAAGUAUGAAGUAGCUCGACGCUUGAAAGGGGUUGUGGAUGAGAUCCGUUCUCAGUAUCGGGCAGAUUGGAAGUCUCGAGAAAUGAAGAAGAGGCAGUGCGCGGUGGCCCUUUAUUUCAUCGAUAAGCUGGCGCUGAGAGCCGGGAAUGAGAAGGAAGAGGGUGAGACGGCAGACACGGUGGGUUGUUGCUCCCUCCGCGUGGAGCACAUCCAGCUGUACCCAGAGGCCGACGGCUGCCAGCACGUUGUGGAAUUGGACUUCCUGGGAAAGGACUCGAUCCGCUACUACAACAGAGUGCCCGUGGAGAAGCCUGUGUACAAGAAUUUGCAGCUGUUUAUGGAGAACAAGAGCCGUGGGGACGACCUCUUUGACAGACUGACCACUACUAGCCUCAACAAGCACCUUCAGGACUUGAUGGACGGCCUGACUGCCAAAGUGUUCCGCACCUACAAUGCCAGCGUCACCUUGCAGGAGCAGCUGCGAGCCCUGACCAGAGCUGAAGACAGUGUAGCUGCGAAGAUUCUGUCUUACAACCGAGCAAACCGAGCUGUGGCCAUUCUCUGCAACCAUCAGCGGGCAACUCCCAAGACCUUCGAGAAGUCGAUGCAGAAUCUCCAGUUGAAGAUUGAGGCGAAGAAGAAGCAGGUGGCGGAGGCCAAGGCGGAGCUGAAGCAGGCUCGGGCCGGCCACAAAUGCAGAGGGGACGACAGGUCCAGAAGGUUUCCUCAGCCCCUGGCAGUUCUCGACUUGUCAGGCUUAAGCGUACAGGGCAGCUGCCGAGAGGAUCCCAGCUGGGAUGGGCCCAAGCAGCCGUCUCUAGAACUCCGUUCCGGAUCCAGCCUUUUUUUCUCCCACUGGGAGGGGAGAGCGAUGCAAACUUUUAACAUUUUUGGCCCAUCCAAAGCUCACUCUUGGGAAUUUGGGACCCUUUCUCCCACCUGGAGGAGAACAGAAACCCGAGGCCUGAGCUGGGCUGUCGUUUUUCCCUCUCUUUAGCCACUGUGGCCCAAAGCAGCCCGAGGGUGUGAGCCCACCCUCCUGGGGUUGGAGCUGUCGUUUCCAGAUUCCUCAGGGAGCUUUGACUCUCAGAGCAGACAGCAGCCCAGCUGCCGUUUCAUCACGGAUGACUCCAUGGACACCCAGGCCUCCUUCCUUGUCAGACGAGCCUCUUGCCAUGGCUCCGCCAGUCAGUGCCAGCGAGUCACACUUUGACACGAACUGAACCCCAGACCACUUCUGGGUUCAGGGAUUCCGCAGGACUCACCGGGCUCGGCAGUCACAGCCGUGGCUUAGUGGAGCGAAAGGGCACAGAGAGCGCCAGCAGACGGAGGCAGCGCACGAGCCCGUGGUGUCACACAGGGCGGGUGCCAUUUCUCUUACCAGCAAGCUGUGACGACACGUGUGAAAUGUCCACCAGAGAAGCUUAUUGGAGACUUGGUGCCCGGGGCUGUCACGGGGGCUGGUCACCUAGGCUGCCUCUGCCCAGCACAUCCCUAACUUCCAGACCCCCGCGAGGAGAGCGGGAGCGCAGCGCAGAGCAUGUUUGUAUGCGCACGUCAGGCUCAGUGAGCCACCUCAGUGGGGGCCAUGGGACCCCCGAGAUCCAGCCUUGGAAGCAGGCCUGUCCGAGGACGGGCGGGCCUGCUGUGUGAACUCUCCUCCACACUGUGCGCAAGGAGUACAGCUGAUGUUUUCUGAUCUUGUGUCCUGCAGCCUGCUGACCUCAUUUACUAGCGCUAGUAGUUUUUUAGCGGAGUCUGUAGGAUUUUUAAGAUCAUGUUAUCUGCAAAUAGAGAUAGUUUACUCUUUCUUUUCCAGUUGGAUGCUGUUUCUUUUCCUUGCCUGAUUGCUUUGGCUGGACUCUCCAGCACGGUGUCGAGUACUAGUGACAUGAGUGGACAGCCCCGUCUUCUUCCUGCUUCUAGGCCAGAGCUUCGCUCUCCGCACCGAGGACCGUGGCAGCCGCAGCCUUUCUUAGACGCCCUGCAUCUGUGGGGGCGUUUGCUCUCUCCCUAGGCCGUCAGGUGUGGGUUUUCGUGGAAGGGUGUUGGGUUUUGUCAGAUGCUUUCUCUGCGUCUGUGGAGACGACCAUGUUUUUAUCUCCCUGUUGAGGGGUCUGUCACAUGAGCUGAUCUUCAGGUGUCCAGCCGUCCUUGCAUCCCCGGGAUAAAUCCUGUUUGAUCAUUGUGUAGAAUCUUUUUUAUAUAUUGCUGAAUUUGGUUUGAUUGUGUUGAGGAUUUUUGCUUCUGUGUGUAAAAAGGAUAAUGGUGUGUGGUUUCUUGUGACGUCUUUGGUUUUAGUGUGAGGGUAACGCUGGUCUCAGAGUGAGGUGGGACGGGUUCCCUCCUCUUCCCUUCUGUGGAAGUGUGUGAAGAAUUGGUGGUACUCUUCUUUAAAUGCAUGGUAGAGUUCCCCGGUGACGUCCUCUGGCCCUGGGCUGUCCCCGUGGGAGGUGAUCGAUCGCUGUACUUGUUAGAGGCUUGUGCACGUUUUCCAUUCUUCUUGCGUCCGUUUUGGUGGUUUGUGUCCUGGUUCUUUGUUCACUUCACGGGGUCGUCUGGUUUGUGGGCACGCGGUUGUUCAGAGCCCCCUCGCCAUCCCUCUCCAGCGAUGUGUCCCUUUAUUCCCAAUGGCUGUGGUUCUAGGCGUGCGAACGUUUCCUCAUUGUGACAAGUGUCCUUGGCUGCAGAGGGGCAUUUUUAACACGGGGGCUGUGUGUAAGAAAUGUCAAGUGAUCAGACCGUGGAGUAUUCAUAAUAAUGAAAAAUAAGGCUGUCAUCCACGCUGACCUCCAGUUCCCCCGGGGUGGCUGGGGACUUUCUGUGUCUUCCGGAAAGCCCGGACGUGUGCAUGCCCGUCGUCCUCCCUCCCCCGCCCCCCUUUUCCCCAUAAGUCGCACCCACUGUUUGUACAUUGGUGUCCGUGUGCGCCCGGCAGCUGUGUCAGAGCAGCACCCGGACCUGUGGCUCACGCGUCUCGGCGGCUCCGGGAUGAGUGCUUGCUGUUCAGGCUGCCCCGCGGUUGGCCGGCUCGGCCUUUGGCGGCAGCACUCCCUCUUGGUCGUGAGUCAUUCCGCACGUGUCCAGCUUCCUGGAGAAGAGGGAGAGGCUGCUGGAGAAGCUGGAGGAGCAGCUCAUGAGACUGAGCACACAGGCCACGGACAAGGAGGAGAG